rnacentral:rRNA from 1 species
AGUGAACGCUGGCGGUAGGCCUAACACAUGCAAGUCGAACGAGUGGCGGACGGGUGAGGAAUACAUCGGAAUCUACUCUGUCGUGGGGGAUAACGUAGGGAAACUUUCGCUAAUACCGCAUACGAUUGAAUGAGCCGAUUGCGGAUUAGCUAGUUGGCGGGGUAACGGCCCACCAAUGCGACGAUCCGUAGCUGGUCUGAGAGGAUGAUCAGCCACACUGGAACUGAGACACGGUCCAGACUCCUACGGGAGGCAGCAGUGGGGAAUAUUGCACAAUGGGCGCAAGCCUGAUCCAGCCAUGCCGCGUGUGUGAAGAAGGCCUUCGGGUUGUAAAGCCCUUUUGUUGGGAAAGCGUUACCCAAAGAAGAAGCACCGGCUAACUCCGUGCCAGCAGCCGCGGUAAUUC